rnacentral:rRNA from 1 species
UAAGGAAUAUUGGUCAAUGGACGCAGGUCUGAACCAGCCAUGCCGCGUGAAGGAUGAAGGUCCUCUGGAUUGUAAACUUCUUUUAUCUGGGACGAAAACGGGAUUUUUAUCUCAAUUGACGGUACCAGAGGAAUAAGCACCGGCUAACUCCGUGCCAGCAGCCGCGGUAAUACGGAGGGUGCGAGCGUUAUCCGGAUUUACUGGGUUUAAAGGGUGCGUAGGUGGGCUUAUAAGUCAGUGGUGAAAUCUCCGAGCUUAACUUGGAAACUGCCGUUGAUACUAUAGGUCUUGAAUUAUCUGGAGGUAAGCGGAAUAUGUCAUGUAGCGGUGAAAUGCUUAGAUAUGACAUAGAACACCAAUUGCGAAGGCAGCUUACUACAUAUAAAUUGACGCUGAGGCACGAAAGCGUGGGGAUCAAACA